rnacentral:rRNA from 1 species
AUUGAACGCUGGCGGCAGGCCUAACACAUGCAAGUCGAACGAGUGGCGGACGGGUGAGUAAUGUCUGGGAAACUGCCUGAUGGAGGGGGAUAACUACUGGAAACGGUCGCUAAUACCGCAUACCAUCGGAUGUCCCCAGAUGGGAUUAGCUUGUAGGUGGGGUAAAGGCUCACCUAGGCGACGAUCCCUAGCUGGUCUGAGAGGAUGACCAGCCACACUGGAACUGAGACACGGUCCAGACUCCUACGGGAGGCAGCAGUGGGGAAUAUUGCACAAUGGGCGCAAGCCUGAUGCAGCCAGGCCGCGUGUAUGAAGAAGGCCUUCGGGUUGUAAAGGACUUUCAGCGGGGAGGCGAUACAAGAAGAAGAAGCACCGGCUAACUCCGUGCCAGCCGCCGCGGUAAUAG